AGCUUAAAGAAAUAAAUUUUAAGUUUAACCUGCCCUGUGAAUUUUUAACGGCUGCGGUACCUUGACCGUACUAAGGUAGCAUAAUCAAUUGGCUUUUAAAUGGAGUCUGGAAUGAAUGGGAAAUUGGAGUUUUACUUUCUUAGAUAAAUUUUAUUGAACUUACUUUAAAAGUGAAAAAGCUUUUUUAUGAAAAAAGACGAGAAGACCCUUGGAGUUUAAAAUAUUUUUGUUGGGGCGACAUUUAAAAUUUAACUUUUAAAAAUUUAAUUAUCAACUUUUAGUUAUAAUUUAUAAACUACCCAAGGGAUAACAGCAUAAUUCUUUUUGAGAUUGUGACCUCGAUGUUGGACUAGGAAAAAUAAUAACUAGUAGCUAUUAUUUUAUGUUCUGUUCGAACUUUAUUAUCCU
rnacentral:rRNA from 1 species